UCACCGGGGCGAACAGCAAUAUGAAGGUCAGGCUGAAGACCUUACCCGAUUAGCUGAGAGGUGGUGCAUGGCCGUCGUCAGUUCGUACUGUGAAGCAUCCUGUUAAGUCAGGCAACGAGCGAGACCCACGUCCACAGUUGCCAGCAUACCCUCCGGGGUGAUGGGUACACUGUGGAGACCGCCGCUGCUAAAGCGGAGGAAGGAGUGGGCAACGGUAGGUCAGUAUGCCCCGAAUCUCCCGGGCUACACGCGGGCUACAAUGGUUGGUACAAUGGGCAUCUACCCCGAAAGGGGAAGGAAAUCUCUUAAAGCCAAUCGUAGUUCGGAUUGAGGGCUGCAACUCGCCCUCAUGAAGCUGGAAUCCGUAGUAAUCGCGUUUCAACAGAACGCGGUGAAUACGUCCCUGCUCCUU
rnacentral:rRNA from 1 species